rnacentral:rRNA from 1 species
CCCUGCCAUUUGUACACACCGCCCGUCGCUCCUACCGAUUGAAUGGUCCGGUGAAUUCUUCGGAUUGUGCGCAGCAAUGUUUCGACGGAGCUGUGCGUGAGAAGUUGAAUAAACCUUAUCAUUUAGAG